UAAGUAUGGUGCUAUCGUUGUUGAGGAGGCAUAUUAUCCAGAACUUUACUCGACUUGCAUCAGCAAAUGCCGCCGUAAAAACCGUGGAUUAUCGGAACUAUCAAGUCAGUAACAUAGAUCAGGUUGCCGUCGUCAAAAUGGACUGUGCGAAUUCGCCCGUAAAUGUCCUCAACCAAGACUCCAUCAAAGAACUCGUUAAAGUGCUAGAAGCAUGUUUUAUGGAUAAAAAUGUCUUUUCACUAGUUUUUAUCUCCAACAAAGAGAACAACUUUAUAGCGGGUGCUGAUAUUAAGUAUAAUAUCUCUAAAUCUAUAUUGUCUUUUGAAAAAUGUCAAAACUCCGGAAGAAGGGACUGUCAUGGCUAAAUACCUCCAGUCCGUUUUCCAAGUCAUGAGUGAAAGUCCUAAACCAAUCGUUUCAGCAAUCAACGGAUCUUGUCUUGGAGGGGGU